rnacentral:rRNA from 1 species
AGACCCUUACCAGGGCUUGACAUCCCACGGACAGAUGUAGAGAUACAUCCUUCCCUUCGGGGACUGUGGUGACAGGUGGUGCAUGGUUGUCGUCAGCUCGUGUCGUGAGAUGUUGGGUUAAGUCCCGCAACGAGCGCAACCCUUAUUGUUAGUUGCUACGCAAGAGCACUCUAGCGAGACUGCCGUUGACAAAACGGAGGAAGGUGGGGACGACGUCAAAUCAUCAUGCCCCUUAUGUCCUGGGCCACACACGUACUACAAUGGUGGUCAACAGAGGGAAGCAAUGCCGCGAGGCGGAGCAAAUCCCUAAAAGCCAUCCCAGUUCGGAUCGCAGGCUGCAACCCGCCUGCGUGAAGUUGGAAUCGCUAGUAAUCGCGGAUCAGCAUGCCGCGGUGAAUACGUUCCCGGGCCUUGUACACACCGCCCGUCACACCAUGAGAGUCGGGAACACCCGAAGUCCGUAGCCUAACCGCAAGGGGGGCGCGGCCGAAGGUGGGUUC